GGCUCGGUAGCUUAGUUAGCAAAGCACUUGUCUAGCGUAUAAGGGUCGUGAUUUCAAAUCCCAUCUGAGCUU
rnacentral:tRNA from 1 species